GGUCUGUUGGUGUAGUUGGUUAUCACGUCAGUCUAACAGCUCGAGAAUUCCGCUUCCCGUCUGGUUCACUGAAGGUCUCCGGUUCAAGUCCGGGCUAGAUCA
rnacentral:tRNA from 1 species